rnacentral:rRNA from 1 species
UACGUAGGGUGCGAGCGUUGUCCGGAAUUACUGGGCGUAAAGAGCUCGUAGGUGGUUUGUCGCGUUGUUCGUAAAAACUCACAGCUUAACUGUGGGCGUGCGGGCGAUACGGGCAGACUGGAGUACUGCAGGGGAGACUGGAAUUCCUGGUGUAGCGGUGGAAUGCGCAGAUAUCAGGAGGAACACCGGUGGCGAAGGCGGGUCUCUGGGCAGUAACUGACGCUGAGGAGCGAAAGCGUGGGGAGCGAACAGG